CGUAGAGAAAUCGAGUCUUAAUAGGGCGUUUAGUUGCUGGGUAUAGACCCGAAACCAGGCGAUCUAUCCAUGAGCAGGUUGAAGGUUGGGUAACACUAACUGGAGGACCGAACCCACUGUCGUUGAAAAGCCAGGGGAUGACUUGUGGAUAGGGGUGAAAGGCUAAUCAAGCCUGGUGAUAGCUGGUUCUCCCCGAAAGCUAUUUAGGUAGCGCCUCGGACGAAUACCAUAGGGGGUAGAGCACUGUUUCGGCUAGGGGGUCAUCCCGACUUACCAAACCGAUGCAAACUCCGAAUACCUAUGAGUACUAUCCGGGAGACAGACUGCGGGUGCUAACGUCCGUAGUCAAGAGGAAAACAAUCCAGACCGCCAGCUAAGGCCCCAAAAUCAUAGUUAAGUGGGAAACGAUGUGGGAAGGCAUAGACAGCUAGGAGGUUGGCUUAGAAGCAGCCACCCUUUAAAGAAAGCGUAAUAGCUCACUAGUCGAGUCGGCCUGCGCGGAAGAUGUAACGGGGCUAAAACUAUGUGCCGAAGCUGCGGAUUUGACAUUAGUCAAGUGGUAGGGGAGCGUUCUGUAAGCCGAUGAAGGUGUAUUGAGAAG
rnacentral:rRNA from 1 species